rnacentral:rRNA from 1 species
CCUACGGGUGGCUGCAGUGGGGAAUAUUGGACAAUGGGCGAAAGCCUGAUCCAGCCAUGCCGCGUGUGUGAAGAAGGCCUUCGGGUUGUAAAGCACUUUCAGUGGGGAAGAAAGCCUUGGGGCUAAUACCCUCGAGGAAGGACAUCACCCACAGAAGAAGCACCGGCUAACUCCGUGCCAGCAGCCGCGGUAAUACGGAGGGUGCGAGCGUUAAUCGGAAUUACUGGGCGUAAAGCGCGCGUAGGCGGUCUGAUAAGCCGGUUGUGAAAGCCCCGGGCUCAACCUGGGAACGGCAUCCGGAACUGUCAGGCUAGAGUGCAGGAGAGGGAGGUAGAAUUCCCGGUGUAGCGGUGAAAUGCGUAGAGAUCGGGAGGAAUACCAGUGGCGAAGGCGGCCUUCUGGACUGACACUGACGCUGAGGUGCGAAAGCGUGGGUAGCAAACAGGAUUAGAUACCCUAGUAGUC